rnacentral:rRNA from 1 species
UGGGGAAUAUUGGUCAAUGGGCGAAAGCCUGAACCAGCCAAGUAGCGUGCAGGAUGACGGCCCUAUGGGUUGUAAACUGCUUUUAUACAGGGAUAAAGUUAGCCACGUGUGGUUAUUUGCAGGUACUGUAUGAAUAAGGACCGGCUAAUUCCGUGCCAGCAGCCGCGGUAAUACGGAAGGUCCGGGCGUUAUCCGGAUUUAUUGGGUUUAAAGGGAGCGUAGGCUGCCCGGCAAGCGUGCUGUGAAAUACAGUGGCCCAACCACUGGACUGCAGCGCGAACUGUCGGGCUUGAGGGCGCACGACGCAGGCGGAAUUUGUGGUGUAGCGGUGAAAUGCUUAGAUAUCACGAAGAACCCCGAUUGCGAAGGCAGCUUGCGGGAGCGCGACUGACGCUGAAGCUCGAAAGUGCGGGUAUCAAACAGGAUUAGAUACCCUGGUAGUCCGCACGGUAAACGAUGGAUGCCCGUUCUGCGGCCUUCGGGCCGCGGGACCAAGCGAAAGCAUUAAGCAUCCCACCUGGGGAGUACGCCGGCAACGGUG